GCUGGUUACACACGUGGGUUGACUUGCCCAUGUGUGUAAAAUCUCACUUGCCUGAUCAUAUGGUUGAGCUUUAAGGAACCUUUAUUGCACCAGUAAGAGGUAAAGUGCAUAUAACCACCUAAUAAUAAAAAAAGGAGAUGAGGGAGAUGUGGAGAGAUGAAGAACAGAAAGGAGGUUCUUCUGGUAUGUUCAUUCCACUACUUUUCAAGAAAGGGAAAGCCUUUUUCUUCCCACUCAAAUCACAUCUCUGGACAGUCCUAGUAGAAAAAUGUGAAUUUAGAGAUAUGUCAGACAGUCAGUAUGACUGAACUAAGGACAAGGAUUCUGAACUAGUACAAGGCAUCUGUGACUUCUCACAAAACUCACCUGUGUAGAUGUGUUUUCAAACUGU
rnacentral:lncRNA from 1 species